UGGCGGACGGGUGAGUAAUGUCUGGGAAACUGCCUGAUGGAGGGGGAUAACUACUGGAAACGGUAGCUAAUACCGCAUAACGUCGCAAGACCAAANAGGGGGACCUUCGGGCCUCUUGCCAUCGGAUGUGCCCAGAUGGGAUUAGCUAGUAGGUGAGGUAACGGCUCACCUAGGCGACGAUCCCUAGCUGGUCUGAGAGGAUGACCAGCCACACUGGAACUGAGACACGGUCCAGACUCCUACGGGAGGCAGCAUG
rnacentral:rRNA from 1 species